CAAUUAUUGUCUAUUUCAUUUACUUUACUGAGGGAGGCAAUAUUAAUCAUAGCUCCUAUGCAGUUUGUUCCAUCAUGAAACUUUGGCACAUCGGUAGUGAUGAUAUUGCUGGACUGUACCUUGAAUCACUGUCAUGCCCAAAAAGAAUGCCUGCCCAAGCGUAUUUGCUUAAGUAUUGUCUGCAUAAGGCCACAACAUUUUCAUUUUAUGUAUUUUUGAGGUUUGCACAAGGCCUACGAUUGAGACAAAUUGACAUGAUGACAGAGGACAUUGCUUGGAAUUCAAGAACACUGUCAAAGAUGGCCAAAAAGCUACGAAAUGUCUGUGUUGAGGCAAUGGAGAGAAGGAAGAGGAGAAAAGGACAGAGACUGGGAGGGCAGAAAGAGUUUGUGGUUAUCGAUGAAAGCCAUUUAAGGAAGUUUGGACGUGGAAGAAUGGUUGGUGGGUGGACACGGAAAAAGUGGGUGUUUGGAAUGCUGGGUGUGAAGCAGACAGGAAAGAAGACGAUCCCUGUUCUCCGCUUGGUGGAAAGAUGGACCAGACGAGAGCUGAUUCCACUGGUUCUGCACCAUGUUCGGACGGGAUCCACAAUACUGACUGAUGAGUGACGGGCUUACCGUCAGGCUCUGCCUGAAUUUGGAUACAAGCAUUAUACAGUCAACCACAGUGUGGAGUAUGUCAAUGCUGUUACAGGAUGCCACACUCAACACAUUGGGAGGGCCUGGAGGAGUUACAAGGAGACCAUCGGGAGACUCCGGGGGAAUCGGACCGAGGAUGUACUCAGAGAUCACCUGCUUAUGAUUGAGUGGAAUGAAUGGCUGGGUAAAAAAAAAAAACUACAAUGGUCCAUUGGGACGCCUGCUCCAUGAUAUUGCAAAGCAAUACAAAUAGACAAAUAAAUUAUGCCAAGAAGGCAACACGCUGACAUUCCAGAGAGCUUUGUUGUUUAUUGUUAAUUCGUAGAAACAUGGGGUCUUCACUGGUCUUUGGACAGAUAUAGACAAGCUUCACAAAUAUCUGGGGAAACUUCUGAGGCAGAUAUGGAGGGCACAGUGAAACAGAAAGCAGUUCUAAGUCAGUAGUGGACAGUUUCUCCAGGACAGUGUCAGAUCUGCACCAGCGCUGUCCUUGUCCAUUUGGAAUACCCACUUGAGUCCAAGCUUUCAUUUGCUCGGCUGAUGUUGCCUCAACAUUUCCACAUAAUGUUUUAUCCUCUUGAUGCCAUCCACAGUACAUGAGGCACACGAGGCAGUAUAUUUGAAGCUAUGGCUUGUUAUGUUCAGCAAUGUUGCUUGUCGCAAUAUUGCGACUUUGGCACUUAAAGGGUUAAAUUGCAAGUUUUCUAAACCAACUAGUCGCCAAUAAAAUUAGCGACGAGUCGGUUCGGAAAUUAGUCGAAAUUCCCAUCCCUAGUUUUUAUAGCCAUAAAAUAGUUAUUGUGGCGUGGAUUGAUUCAGACGGAGCACCACUGAAGGCCGAGGUGUGAAAUGCACGGUCCGCCACUGGCAUACAGCAGGUCUAGGGUUUCAUUCUCUCUGGUAGGGCAGUUAAACCAUGUAAAUCCAGUCAGAUGAGAGGAGAGGCUGACAUGAUUGAAAUCUCCUGAUAUGAUUACAAGUGCCUCAGGAUGUUGAGUCUGUAUCCUAGCAACAGUAUAAUGCAAAACAUCACAUGGAACCAAGUCAGUUGCCUUGGGUGGAAUGUAUACAAGUAUUGUUAUGAUGUGACUGAACUCCCUUGGAACAUAGUAUGGCCGAAGUCCAUAGUCAAGUCCAAGAUUGUGAAGAAAGUAAUAAAAAUUCUCGAAAAAAAAAUAUCUCUCUUUCGUUAUUCUGGCAUUUAAAGAUAAUUUUGGUCAUCUUAACUGACAUAAAACAGGAGAAGCAUUGCCAGAUUUAAUGCCAGAUGGUGUAAAUUAAAAAAAGGGUUAUGUGUCGUUUAUACAGUGUAAGUAAACUUCUGGGUUCAACUGUCUGAAUUUCUUGAGAAGGAAAAGGCUGGUAAACUCACAAUGCUCAAAAGUAUUAUUCUCUACCAAAGAAAAUGCUGCUCUUUACCUUCCUGAACAACUUGCUUGAAAAACAAGACUUUUCUUCCGUUACUUAUCUUCAUCACCAUGUAAGACAUUUUCAUAAAGUAUGAUCAGCAGCUAGUUCAGCCUCAAACAAAAAACAAGCAGCUUCCUAGCAGUCCACCAUUAUAGCCUCAGCACAGCUGCUUCUGCAGAGCUACAUCUCUCCAGCCAACGUCACCUGGCUUUGGUCGGCCCAUCUAACCAACUGGAGCAACUUUAGAAAUUUCAAAGAACAAAUGAAUGAGAAUAAUGUUACAGUGGUAUGUUUCUCACUUUUUGUGAAGAAUCCAUGUUUCCUCCGUUGUUGAGCUCAGACUAAAUGGCUGCCAACAUUCCUCUGCUCCUCCGUCAGACUCUCCUCCUCCUGCCAAUCACCUGUCACAUCAAACACAUCUUCAUUAGGAUACCACUCUAUACACAAGUGUCAGAGUGUCCCAUAUGUUCAUCAGCCAACACAGAGGACACAUUUCAACUCAAUAGUUCACUUUUAGCUCUUUUCAGUUUCACCUAAAACUGAUACAAAUGAACUUAAACUGUUAAAAAUAAGGAACACAGACAGAAAACAGACAUGGAAAAAGAGAAUAAAGAGAACAUAAAGAUGCUACUGCAGGUGAUUCAAGACAGGACUGCUGGUAGAAAACUGUUCAUGCUGUAAGUUAGUGAAUGUAUUUUACUGCUCAGUGUUCUGUUUAAAGGCAGCUCUCACUCUCUGUUCUUUGCACUCUCCCAUAGUGUCAAGUGUCCUCCCCAGGGGUGGAAAGUAACGAAUUACAUUUACGCACGUUACUGUAAUUGAGUACUUUUUAUGAGUAAUUUGUAAUUUUCAGAGUAGUUUUUGAAAUGUGUAAUUUUUACUUUUACUCAAUUACAUUUUGACCCAAGUAUUUUACUUCGCUACAUUUGAAACCCCUCACGUUACUGAGUACAAUAUUGAUAGUGAAAAAAAUUAAAUGCGGGCGGAAAACCACUGUGUCCCCGGAACUGAACAUCAAUUGCGUGACCUUGCCUUGCACUAUACAGUACAGGUUGUGACUGUCCUUGUUUUCCUUGUGUUGAGGAUCAUGUUACUGAGCUCAGCUGAGCUUUUUUAAGUGCGGAUGUGCACUUUAAUACGCCUCAAAGUUGAUUAAAACAACUUGUGCUGAACUUUAUUCAUGACUCAUCAGGGGUAGAUUGAGCGUUAUUUCAUUCGGUCGUAUGACCGAAUGGCCGGUCCACAUCUGGGCCGGUGCGCUGGUAUUUAUUAAAUAAUUUUGUUUAUUUAUCCAUAUGCGGGCGAAUGGGAUGGAUCAGCGUCAUGUCCUCACAGCUGCGGUUAAACGCGGCGGCCGGUCCUCACAAAGCUACGACUGUCACCCCGCUAACACACACACACACACACACACACACACACACACACGUUUGUACUUCUAUCUUAGUGAGGACAUCCAUAGCCGUAAUGCAUUUCCUAGAGCCUUACCCUAACCUUAACCAUCACAACUGAUCGCCUAACCCUAAUCCUUACCCUAACCCUAACCAAACCUCAAUUCAUACCUGUUCUCUAAAAACAAGUCUUCACCCUCAAACAUGGCUGUUUCAAAGUGAGGACCGGCCAAAAUGUCCUCACUUUGUAAAAAUGUCCUCACUUUGAUAGUUAAAUGCAGAAAAUGGUACUCACAAUGUAGCAAGUACAAGAACACACACACACACACACACACACACACACACACACACACACACACACACACACACACACACACACACACACACACACACACACACACACACACACACACACACACACACACACACACACACACACACACACACACACACACACACACACACACACAGAGAGAGAGAGAUCCUGCCUUUGCGGAAGCCGGAGGAGCCGAGGCAGCGCUAAAUAUUAAAUUAGCAUACUAACUAGUUAUCGCUAAUUAGCGAUAAAACUGUAAUAUAUUGUAAUUUUCAAAAUUGUUUUGAAGUUGUAGUGUAUGUGUGUAUUUGCAUUGCAGUGAUUCCACUUCAGCAGUAUACUGUAUGUGAGUAAUUAUUAAAUACUCAAAGGUUCAAAGGUU